rnacentral:rRNA from 1 species
UACGUAGGCAGCGAGCGUUGUUCGGAGUUACUGGGCGUAAAGGGUGUGUAGGCGGUUGUUUAAGUUUGGUGUGAAAUCUCCCGGCUCAACUGGGAGGGUGCGCCGAAUACUGAAUGACUUCGAGUGCGGGAGAGGAAAGUGGAAUUCCUGGUGUAGCGGUGAAAUUCGUAGAUAUUGGGAAGAACACCGGUGGCGAAGGCGGCCAUCUGGACCGCAACUGACGCUGAGGCGCGGAAAGCGUGGGGAGCAAACAGG